rnacentral:rRNA from 1 species
GAUGAACGCUAGCGGGAGGCCUAACACAUGCAAGCUGAGCGGUAUUUGUCUUUCGGGACAGAGAGAGCGGCGUACGGGUGCGUAACACGUGUGCAACCUGCCUUUAUCAGGAGGAUAGCCUUUCGAAAGGAAGAUUAAUACUCCAUAAUAUAUUAAUUGGCAUCAAUUGAUAUUGAAAACUCCGGUGGAUAAAGAUGGGCACGCGCAAGAUUAGAUAGUUGGUGAGGUAACGGCUCACCAAGUCGAUGAUCUUUAGGGGGCCUGAGAGGGUGAUCCCCCACACUGGUACUGAGACACGGACCAGACUCCUACGGGAGGCAGCAGUGAGGAAUAUUGGACAAUGGGUUAGCGCCUGAUCCAGCCAUCCCGCGUGAAGGAUUAAGGACCUAUGGUUUGUAAACUUCUUUUGUACAGGGAUAAACCUACCCUCGUGAGGGUAGCUGAAGGUACUGUACGAAUAAGCACCGGCUAACUCCGUG